CAGAUUAUAACAUAAUAAUGUGCUUUAUUUACACUAGAGAAAUGAAUUAUCUAAUCUGA
rnacentral:tRNA from 1 species